GUUGUCCGGAAUUAUUGGGCGUAAAGAGCUCGUAUGCGGUCUGUCGCGUCUGCUGUGAAAUCCCGAGCUCAACCUCGGGCUUGCAGUGGGUACGGGCAGACUAAGUGCGGUAGGGGAGAAUGGAAUUCCUGGUGUACGGUGGAAUGCGCAGAUAUCAGAGGAACACCGAUGGCGAAGGCAGUUCUCUGGGCCGUAACUGACGCUGAGGAGCGAAAGCGUGGGGAGCGAACAGGAUUAGAUACCCUGGUAGUCAAGGGCG
rnacentral:rRNA from 1 species